UAGUUUGUUCAUAACGCUGUCAACCGCGAUGUCGGUUAUGUUUUGUUUUGUUCGACACUCGGUGUUCAAUUCUUCAACUCGUUCAACUCGUCGGUCCGUGAGUGAAAAAAAUCCAACUGCAUCGAGGCAGUUUUUACUAUUAAAUUACAACAAAACUUCAAGUACACUGCGCAGUCCCGACGGAUACCAACUGGGACAAAUUGAUUUCGAUACAGUUCCCGACCAAAAGCUCCGCAUUAUUCGAAAAAUGGAAUUCUAUCAUCGAAUCGCUCAAACCUAUUCUCAUGCCGAUGUGUGCGAUAAAAGCGGCAAAACUAUUCUAAAUCAACUGGAAGGUGAACUAAGUGAAGGAAAGUGGAAACCCAGUUACAUUGAAAAUCGUAACAGCUUUGUCUACUGGGUACAGAGCAUAAUCGAUCUACAGUCAAAAGUUAAAGUUCACCACACUUCACGUUCUGAGACUAGAGGAAUGCCACAAUGUCCACUGGUGAUCGGUGUUGGACCAGACCUAUCAAAAUUGAACACCUUUAUAGUAUCCUUCGGUGACAAAACCUACAGCCUACCAUUGCUGCGGAAUGUGCCGGAUCAUGGAAUCUACGUCAUCUACGUCAUCAUGGAUCAAUCACGUCAUCUACGAGUUUCCGGUUGAAUCCUCUUGUCGCGCAAAAAUACUUUCGAUCAGUAAUGUGAUCAGUUCCAGAAGUUAAAGAUGUUCAACUGUCUAUAUAGAUUUUUUAAAUAAAUAAUCCAGUUUUGUGGUUAUCGGCAGUUUCAUUGUAUAGAAAUAGAACAUGAAAUGCUUGAGAGGUAAUACAAAUCCUCAUUUAAUUUCAACCAUGUUAUUAGUUAAAUCAAACAAGAUCCAUAGUUGAUUCAAACGUAUCCUUAUUUAUUUCAAACAACCGUUUAGUUUGAAUCAAACUAAAAUUUGGUUGAAACAAAUUUAAGGAUUUGUUUGAAUUUACCUAGAAUUUUUCA